UUUUUUUCUGACUAAAUAGAAUUCCUGACGUUAGGAUAUCAAAGUGGGGUUAACGAAAAAGAAAACAGAACGAACUUCGUGGAAAUUAAUGACAACGACUAGCUACCUCUGCAAUCGCCAAUCAGGUUUAGUGGCACCAAGAUUCAACCCCCAAUUGAGCAUACAAGGCAGAAUAUUGGCUUGUGUUCUUGAUGGAUUUGGAAAUGUGUUCCGGGUCCGGACCCGGUAACAACAGUCACAGAAAGCACUAGAAUGUGUCACGGCCAGGACCAGUUCCAGAACCAUCAGAAGAGAAAAUUGGACCACAUCACAAGCCGAAAAGGUAACCAUUAAACCAAACCAAAAGUCGGGAGAUCAUUACAUUCAUUUAUGCAAAACACGAUCAUACCGGGAGUUGACAUGUACAUGAUACUUCUUAUCAGACAAGGAAGUUGAAACUAGUUUGUACUUUACUAGUAUUAUAUCAUACAUAUUACUACUGAGCAGUAGCUUUCUUGGCUUUCUUAGCAGCAGAGGACUUGAUGGAUUUGGGCUGCUUUGGUUUGGCAGCAGCCGAUUUCUUUGCCUUCUUAGGCGGAGGAGGAGCGGCGGCGGCAGACUCUGCUUUGAUUUUAGCUGCAGCAGUUACGGACCUUGUUUUCCUUGGGGCCUUGGCCUUGGUCUUGAUCUCUUUUUUGGUUUUGCCAGCUGCCGCUUCAGAGAGCUUGUAAGAGGCCCUGAUCUUGAUGAGAUUUCCUUUCGCAGCGAAGUGCUUCAGCUGCACUGCCAAUAUUUUCCUGAAAUUCGCUGGGAGCUCAUCUUUGUGCUUCUCUUCCAUGUACUUGGCUAUUGCGUAUGGGCUUGAACCGCUCUUAUCUUGCAGCGCCAUCAGUGCCUCCGUUAUCAUCUGCACAAUUAAUUACAAUAAUAUCAAAAACUUCCUUCAAUGAACGUGACUUAUAAUUUAAUUUGAUUAAAUUGACAAACCUGAAAAUAAGGAGGAUGAGAGGGGGUUUUGGACUGCUUUGGCUUCUUCUCUUUAGGAGCCUUGGGCUUCUUGUCCUUAGCAGCCUUGGCCUUCUUCUCAGUGACGACCUUUUCCGGCUCCUCCGCAGCCGGCUGCUGCUCCGUCACAGCUUCACCUUCUGUGGCCAUCUACUUUCGCAACUAACGAAUCCGCUCAAAACGAUCUCGCAGAAUUACUAGAAGAAAACUAAAGCCUUGAAUUACAGCCUUGAUUGUUUAUUUAUUAAAUAUCGGAGGAAAUGAUCCUUAAUUUAUACUAGCGCUCCAUCCCGGUGAAAAUUUUGUUAUUGGUCCGUUGGAAUUAAAGUAGAUCGCCAGCGUGUUCAAGGAUAUAUCUAGAACUCACACGUGGAACGAUAUCCGACCGUCCCUUACUAUACCAGUUUAAUUUUGCUUAAAAUGGAAUGCGGAGUGGAUUGAAAUUUUCAUUUCGACGUUGGUCUUCUUCCUCUUUGUUGUGUGCUUUCUAUUUUGAUUUACACUGCGAUAUCUUGGGCAUGAAGUCGGCUUUUUUCAUUUUUUUUUUUUGGGAAUGCAAGCUAAGUAAGUCCAGAUUAUAAUGCGGGUCACAUGGAGCAAAAUGGUUGAGUUAAUUGAAUUCUCAAAACAAAAUGUUGUUGGUGUAUGUUGGUUUUGCUUUUUACUUUGUUACUCCGUUGUGCUGUGAAAUUAGAGAAAGCCAUUAUUAGCAAUACGUGAUUGAAAUUUAUAAUUAGGUUUCUCUCUUUCAAAUACAACAAUUAUUUACAAACACAUGAUUAACAUACUAAAUAAGAUCAAAGAUAAUUAUACACCGACCACCUAUUUUUUUUAACUUUUUUAAAAAUACACAAAUCUUAUUUUUUUUGAGACAAUAUUCUACUUGAAGUUAACAUUUUUUUUUAUUUGUCCACUCCCGUCAUAGCACUGUUAGAACUUUGUUGACAUAGUAAGGGUAAAAUUUUUAUUUCACAAGAACAAAAAAAACGACAUUAUUUUAUGUUCCUUUUUUAUUUCCUUUUAUUUUUGGAUAUUAGAAAUUUUUGGUUAAAUUUAAAUUCUUUUAUUAAUUGGUAUCCCUGUUUCUUCUAAUAUAAAUAUAUAUAUACAUUAGAUGCAAAAGUAAUUCAAAUAUGAAUAAAGGAUAAAAGAAAAGUGUACUAGAUUUUGGAAUUUGCCAAUUCAGAAAUGAAAAUAGAAAUUAGAAGUUGAGCCUCUAAUUCCUAUCUUUUUCUUUUCUUGAGUCGGUACUGUGAGUAUAGGAUGUUCUAGUUUUGAUAUUGGAUAUGCCAAACAUUGUAACAAGCUCAAGGAUGGAAACAGAAGUUUUGUGGGGCUUCUACAGUGUCGUAUUGAUCUUGGAAAAUUUUAAAUGAUAUUUCUUUGCCAUUUAUUUGAGACAAAAGAAUAAUUUUAUAUUCAGGGAAAAAAAGAUCGUUUAAUUAAUAUUCUGUUAAAUCUAUUAAUUCCGUUAUAACAGAAGUUGACAAGUAAAAAGAAUGUUAACUUUCAGUAUAGCACUGUCCCUAAAAAAAAAAUCGUGUAUUUUUGAAAAAAAAAAAAAAACAUAUGAUACGUGGAUAAUUGCCCUAGAAUCAGUAACUCUUACUCAUUGUUCUCGCACUUUAAGAGUGUACAACGAGGGACAAGAAAAAAACACACCCAAUUAGGAAAACUCGGAAAACACAGACCUACACCACCAAACAUUACUUUUUUAUCCAGAUUCUCUGUCUGAACUUCCGAUUUAAAAGCAAGUUCCAACCGGUUAAGGUCAACAAGAUCAGUAUUUCAAAUAGUUGUUUUCAACGUAAACAGGAUUGCUAUAGAUCCAGAUGAAGAAAAGUUGGGAAUUCAUCAUCGUAAUAAAACUUUAAAUUACAUUAACAAAAGCUAAAAAAUGAUUUGAUGUUAUAACAAAAGGCAGCAUAUACAAGGUUUUUAGGUAAACUAAAUAAAUAAACAAGCGUUGAAGUGGUGUUCUUUUGUCAACAUAGUAGCAUAAUGAACAAAAUCUUAUUAAGAUCGGAAACUCUUAUCGUUUACAACUGUAGGGAUAUCAUCCAACACAUAUUCUACGGUGCAGUAGUGGAAAUCAAAUGUUCAAUAAAACAAAAAGGUCAAAAGUGAAGGAAAAAAAAUAUUAAUAGAAAAUUGUAAGAUCACGUAAUAAGUCCAACUUCAACAAUAAAGUUUGGCUGCCAGCAUUUCACGGCAUGAUCAAGAGACUUUCACAAUCAUACAAUGAACUGAAGCAUUUGCAAGAGUCAAUGACGCCCGCUUAUUUGAAUAAUACAAAUUACACAGAGCUAGUAAAUAACUACGAAGCAGCUGUCCUAUAGAUAGAACUACAAUAGAUUAAAUAAAUACAUUAGAGGUCAGAUAUUCCCUUUACAAAUGAUUUUUUUAGCUGGAAAUGGAAAGCAACAUUUUUUCCUUGAAGGAGCAAAGCCCGGGCUUAAAAUAUAAAUGAGCUGGAAGACCCCUGUGGACCGACAACAGUUUCGCUUCUGCAGUGAAACUCAACAUUUACACACUAGAUAGACAACAGUUUGAAAAUAUGUGAACCGUGAGGAAACCACCCCCCAAACCCCCUUAAACUCACAUCCACAUCUUAACCACACUAGGCAAAUUUGAGGCCAAUCAACCAAAAAAUUAUACUCCACCUAGCUUCCGAUAUUUUCUGACAUUAUGAUUUAAGGUGAAGAGGCAUUAUCAAAAGACUUAACUAACUCAAUUUUGUUUUAUCUUAGUAUCCGUCUCCACCGCCUAAAACAAAAAAAAUGAUUCCACAGAAGCUAAAAGACAUUUUCAGCAGAUCCCUCGGGUUUAAAUUCGCUCAUAUCUGUCAAUUUCUUCAACCACAAAUUUGUUAUCUUUGGCUGUUUACCAACACGCCCCAAAUUCAACUAAAAUAUGAUUAAUUAUCCUAUUCAAAACAUCUUACAUCCAAACAAACUCACUCAAAACUUAACAGUAUCAACCAUUAAAAAAAAAAACACUUGAACGAUAAGACUGCUAUAGCAAACAGGAGCUGAAACAUGCAAACCAAUAAUCAGAUUAAAGUUCAUAAGGAAAAUCCAACACAGAAACUGAUCUACUAAAGAAGGGGUGGGGAUAUUUAGGUAAACAAAGCAAUACAUGAUAAACAUGAUAAUUACAGCAAAUAGACAUCAUCAAAAAUUUGGGUUGAAUGCAAAAAUAGCAAAAAAAAUUAAAAACAAACCACAGCAGAUAAAUAUAUUGACAAUGGAAAAGAAAGAUUUUUAUGGUUUUUCUAAAAAAAAAGGAAAAAUCAGUUAAAACAGGGAGUGAGGGUUGAAGGCGGCUACAGUAUAUAUAGAAUUUGUAAAGAAGUUUAGUUGAUUGCAAUUUUGAGAUAUCCAGAAGUGUGUAAAUAAAAUAUAAUUUUUAUAUUUUCAUCAUGAACUUUAAGAAAACAGAAAUGUGUGGGUUCAAGUAUCCCCAUGCAAGAAAGAAGCAAGAUUUAUAUCACCUAUUUUUUAUGAAAAUGGAGAUAAGCAAAUCAAGUGUAUUCACUUCACAAUUUAUGGUAAUUUUGAACCAACUUCACAGCUAAACCUUCAAAAGUUCAAUGAAUCAGAAUAGUAACUAAUUGUCCUCUAUGUACCAUCCAAAUAUCACUUGAGUAUAAUUUAGUGGCAAUUAGAAUAAAAGCACACGAUCCCUUGUAAAAGCUAUUUAUGAAACUAACCACGUCCUUAGAGCAAAACCCAGAGUGAAUCUGAUUUCAAUCCAACCAAAGAUUGAAGCUGAACAUGGAAAGAACAGCACUAAGAUCUCUCCUAGAAGUAUAAAUAAAAUUGCAUAUGAUCCCUUCUGCUCCUUCCCAAAUAAAGGUCAAACAAAAGGUUUUAGUAAUCUUCAGUUUGUUAGAGAGUAGCACCUUUAAAACAAAAUCCACAAUUAUCAGAUAAGACUUUCAAGCUGAAGAGGUUUGGAACAGAUGCAAAACAUUGACCACCACCAGAAACAUAUCUAGUCAGAAAGAAACAUAUUCAAUUGAUACAAUAAGGAUGGAUCAUCUUGAAGAACUGCCAUAUUCACUCAAGUAACCAAUAAAAUCUCUAAAGCACAGUCCCCUUCAAUCCAUAACAUAUAUCCAGAUCGGUAGGCAGGUUUCAGAUUGCAUAUUCCUAUACAAGGUCUACACUUUUUGUUUCUCCAAAAACAUAAAACAUAGGGAGAUCUCCAUAAAAGCACUAUAGCCAUAGGCAAUUAAAGUUUAAACUAACUUCUGCAUCUGUCGCGAUAUAAUAAAAGCCAUAGCUUGAACUUUCCAAUUCCACAAAAGAGUCACCCAGUCCACUUCCUUUUAACAGCUUCAAGAUUAAACAUCAAUCUGUAUUCUUGAUCCAUGACGUACUCAUGAAUAUAGAAGGAAACUUAUACUGCCCUUUACCACAACAACCGAUAUAAAAAAACCUCCAGUUCAUACCUAGAGCAGAGGGAGCACAAUCUAUUACAAUCUCCGACGUACAGAAGAAAUAUAAGUUUCUUAGUCCAGGUCCUUCAUGUAUGUAACCUAACUAGACACAUUGAACUCCUAACAUGGUGCUAAUUAUAGUAGAAACAUAACUAGAAAGAGAUGUACAGGGUAAUGGAAGACAAGGGGAAAAAGUUGAAUGAAGAUAAUUAAUAAAAAUUAAAAAGGCAACUGCCACCAUAUUUUCAGCAGCAAGCCAGCUGCCCAUCAACAAUGAACUGCAUCCUGCAUUUCCCAGCCCACCUAGACAAAAGAGUGAAACAGCCUCUAAAAGUUAUAAGGUGAACGCAUUUACCAUAAAACUCAGGAAACUUAAAAUUGCAAUACAGCUGCCAUUACCAAAGGAUCUCGAGUCUAGUAGAAAUAGCCACCUCCAUAUAAGCGAUCAUCCCCGUAAUAUGGUGGGUAAGGUGGAUGUGCACCAUACUGAAAAAAUGAAAAUAUGAUGGAACAUUAUAAAAAUGUCAUCUGCACAUCAAUAUGGACAUGCUAAAACUGCGAGCUUACAUUGGGAACAUGAUAAUCAUCUGAAUAGUGAUUACUGCAAGCUCCAACAUUAUCUAAACAAAAUAAAAUACAGAUGAGCAAUAGGAUGAAUAAAACAUGAAAUUGAGCCUGCCUAAAAAAGUCAACAAAUGCAAAGCAUUGCAUACCAUGAUGAUGGCUUCCAUGAAAUGGAAUUACUGGAUCAUUAUAAUCCAGUCGUGGUCGGAAUCUUCUUGGCCCCAUGCAAUCAGGCUCAUGGUCCUACAGGCAGUAAGCAAAAUUCCAACUAAUAACACUAGGAUAAUUGGUAAAGGAUAGGAACAAACGUGUUAGAAACGUAAAUCAGAGAUAAUAAAAAAUUGGACAAAUAGCUUGCCAUCACAUGGAAUGACCGCUUUACUCCAUGGGCACGGUCAUCAUAAAAAUAAGGGUCAUCAACUUGUCUCCCAAUAAAAGGUCUGUCAAAGUCUUCGCCUUGAGAAAAUGGUUGCCUCCUAUAAGAAUGAUGCUCCCCAUAGCCUCUAUCGGGGCCAUCCGGCCAAAGUCUAGUAGGAUUAGACCUUGAAGGCCCAGCUCCUGCGGCGGCUCUACUAGGUGCAUUAUAACCACCUCUGAAACUCCUUCCUCCUGUAAGUAAUAUAUAUCAAAUUGUAAGACCAGCCUCUAUGUGUUAACUCAUACAUGCUUGUGUAGUUGUGCACAUGGAUGCAUCAACAAACAAGCUCAGAGAGAGAGAGAGAGAGAGAACCUCGUCCAAUAAAUUGUCUCCCAUGAAACUCAGUGUAUCGGUUGUCAAAGUCAUACUCAGUGGGACCCAUUCUACUACUGUGAUUCCGACCAUGUUGAUAGAAACCCCUGCCGCGUUGGAAAUUUGCCCUGUUAAAGUGAUGUCCAGCCCGCCCAGAGCCCCUUCC
rnacentral:lncRNA from 1 species